ACUCCUACGGGAGGCAGCAGUGGGGAAUAUUGCACAAUGGGCGCAAGCCUGAUGCAGCCAUGCCGCGUGUAUGAAGAAGGCCUUCGGGUUGUAAAGUACUUUCAGCAGUGAGGAAGGCGGGUACGUUAAUAGCGUGCUUGUUUGACGUUAGCUGCAGAAGAAGCACCGGCUAACUCCGUGCCAGCAGCCGCGGUAAUACGGAGGGUGCGAGCGUUAAUCGGAAUUACUAGGGCGUAAAGCGCAUGCAGGUGGUUUGUUAAGUCAGAUGUGAAAGCCCGGGGCUCAACCUCGGAAUUGCAUUUGAAACUGGCAGACUAGAGUACUGUAGAGGGGGGUAGAAUUUCAGGUGUAGCGGUGAAAUGCGUAGAGAUCUGAAGGAUACCGGUGGCGAAGGCGGCCCCCUGGACAGAUACUGACACUCAGAUGCGAAAGCGUGGGGAGCAAACAGGAUUAGAUACCCUGGUAGGAUAGCG
rnacentral:rRNA from 1 species